rnacentral:tRNA from 1 species
CAGAAUAUAGCGCAGUUUGGUAGCGCGGCGGCUUUGGGAGCCGCAGGUCACAGGUUCGAAUCCUGUUAUUCUG